UACGGAAGGCAGCAGUGGGGAAUAUUGCACAAUGGGCGCAAGCCUGAUGCAGCCAUGCCGCGUGUAUGAAAAAGGCCUUCGGGUUGUAAAGUACUUUCAGUCGUGAGGAAGGUGUUAAGGUUAAUAACCUUAGCAAUUGACGUUAGCGACAGAAGAAGCACCGGCUAACUCCGUGCCAGCAGCCGCGGUAAUACGGAGGGUGCGAGCGUUAAUCGGAAUUACUGGGCGUAAAGGGCACGCAGGCGGUUAAUUAAGUUGGAUGUGAAAUCCCCGGGCUUAACCUGGGAAUGGCAUUCAAGACUGGUUAGCUAGAGUCUUGUAGAGGGGGUAGAAUUCCAUGUGUAGCGGUGAAAUGCGUAGAGAUGUGGAGGAAUACCGGUGGCGAAAGGCGGGCCCCCUGGACAAAGGACUGACGCUCAUGUGCCGAAAAGCGUGGGGAGCAAAAC
rnacentral:rRNA from 1 species